rnacentral:rRNA from 1 species
UUUUUCCUACGGGGGGCAGCAGUGGGGAAUAUUGCACAAUGGGGGAAACCCUGAUGCAGCAACGCCGCGUGAGUGAAGAAGUAUUUCGGUAUGUAAAGCUCUAUCAGCAGGGAAGAAGAUGACGGUACCUGACCAAGAAGCCCCGGCUAACUACGUGCCAGCAGCCGCGGUAAUACGUAGGGGGCAAGCGUUAUCCGGAUUUAUUGGGUUUAAAGGGUGCGUAGGCGGAAUAUCAAGUCAGCGGUAAAAAUUCGGGGCUCAACCCCGUCGUGCCGUUGAAACUGAUGUUCUUGAGUGGGCGAGAA